rnacentral:tRNA from 1 species
AUUUAUAUAGUAUAAUAAAUUAUUUCUAACUUCCAAUUAGAAGAUCUAAUAAUUAGUAUAAAUA